UGAGGAAUAUUGGUCAAUGGGCGAGAGCCUGAACCAGCCAAGUAGCGUGCAGGAUGACGGCCCUAUGGGUUGUAAACUGCUUUUAUAUGGGGAUAAAGUGGGGAACGUGUUCCCUUUUGCAGGUACCAUAUGAAUAAGGACCGGCUAAUUCCGUGCCAGCAGCCGCGGUAAUACGGAAGGUUCGGGCGUUAUCCGGAUUUAUUGGGUUUAAAGGGAGCGUAGGCCGUUUGGUAAGCGUGUUGUGAAAUGUAGGAGCUCAACUUCUAGAUUGCAGCGCGAACUGUCAGACUUGAGUGCGCACAACGUAGGCGGAGUUCAUGGUGUAGCGGUGAAAUGCUUAGAUAUCAUGAAGAACUCCGAUUGCGAAGGCAGCUUACGGGAGCGCAACUGACGCUGAAGCUCGAAGGUGCGGGUAUCGAACAGG
rnacentral:rRNA from 1 species